rnacentral:rRNA from 1 species
GGCUCAGGAUGAACGCUAGCGGCAGGCUUAAUACAUGCAAGUCGUGGGGCAGCACAGGUAGCAAUACUGGGUGGCGACCGGCAAACGGGUGCAGAACACGUACGCAACCUUCCCAAAACUGGUGAAUAGCCCUCCGAAAGGAGGAUUAAUACACCGUAACAUAAUGAAGUGGCAUCACUUUAUUAUUAUAGCUCCGGCGGUUUUGGAUGGGCGUGCGCCUGAUUAGGUAGUUGGCGGGGUAACGGCCCACCAAGCCUGCGAUCAGUAACUGGUGUGAGAGCACGACCAGUCACACGGGCACUGAGACACGGGCCCGACUCCUACGGGAGGCAGCAGUAAGGAAUAUUGGUCAAUGGACGCAAGUCUGAACCAGCCAUGCCGCGUGAAGGAUGAAGGUCCUCUGGAUUGUAAACUUCUUUUAUAGGGGACGAAAAAAGGGAAUUCUUUCUCACUUGACGGUACCCUAGGAAUAAGCACCGGCUAACUCCGUGCCAGCAGCCGCGGUAAUACGGAGGGUGCAAGCGUUAUCCGGAUUUACUGGGUUUAAAGGGUGCGUAGGUGGGUCUGUAAGUCAGUGGUGAAAUCUCCGGGCUUAACCCGGAAACUGCCAUUGAUACUAUAGGUCUUGAAUACUCUGGAGGUAAGCGGAAUAUGUCAUGUAGCGGUGAAAUGCUUAGAUAUGACAUAGAACACCAAUUGCGAAGGCAGCUUACUACGGGGUCAUUGACACUGAGGCACGAAAGCGUGGGGAUCAAACAGGAUUAGAUACCCUGGUAGUCCACGCCCUAAACGAUGGAUACUCGACAUCAGCGAUACACUGUUGGUGUCUGAGCGAAAGCAUUAAGUAUCCCACCUGGGA